CCGUGGUUGGAGUCCAACGACUUGGCGUGGAGGCCGACGUUUCUCCUCAUGGCCUGGGACCUCAGCUGGUACUUCUUAAACCAGUCUUCACUCUCCUGCUCCUUACUGUGCCGCAACUCCUGUGAUUUUCUGUCAAGGAGCGGGACGAGAAACCAAACUAUACAUCAGAGAAAACGUCAGGUUUCUAAAGGGAUGGUUCCUGAUUUGCACCUCAGUCUGCAGGGCCUUGUGUAACCUGUCGAAAUCAGGGACCUGCUGAUUGAUUCUUGGGUGGAAACUUGGCUGCUCGUCCAGGAAUCCAAGCUUCUCUUUCUUGGUGCGGUCGGCAGCACGAUGUUUUGGG